CUGAUGAUGAAAUAUUUGAUUCCUUACGGUUCUAUCAACGUCCAAAUACACUGUUUAAUCAUCAUAUCUAUGUUGAUAUUGCUCAAUACCACCUUUGUUACCUUUGUGAGCUUAGUUGGAUGAUGUCUACUACUCUUUGUUGCAUUCUAGAGGG
rnacentral:snoRNA from 1 species